UGGGGAAUAUUGCACAAUGGGGGAAACCCUGAUGCAGCGAUGCCGCGUGGAGGAAGAAGGUUUUCGGAUUGUAAACUCCUUUUAUCAGGGACGAUAAUGACGGUACCUGAAGAAAAAGCUCCGGCUAACUACGUGCCAGCAGCCGCGGUAAUACGUAGGGAGCGAGCGUUGUCCGGAAUUACUGGGUGUAAAGGGAGCGUAGGCGGGAUGGCAAGUCAGGUGUGAAAACUAUGGGCUCAACCCAUAGACUGCACUUGAAACUGCUGUUCUUGAGUGAAGUAGAGGUAAGCGGAAUUCCUAGUGUAGCGGUGAAAUGCGUAGAUAUUAGGAGGAACAUCGGUGGCGAAGGCGGCUUACUGGGCUUUUACUGACGCUGAGGCUCGAAAGCGUGGGGAGCAAACAGG
rnacentral:rRNA from 1 species